rnacentral:rRNA from 1 species
GUGCUACAAUGGAUGGUACAACGAGUUGCGAGACCGCGAGGUCAAGCUAAUCUCUUAAAGCCAUUCUCAGUUCGGACUGUAGGCUGCAACUCGCCUACACGAAGUCGGAAUCGCUAGUAAUCGCGGAUCAGCACGCCGCGGUGAAUACGUUCCCGGGCCUUGUACACACCGCCCGUCACACCAUGAGAGUUUGUAACACCCGAAGCCGGUGGCGUAACCCUUUUAGGGAGCGAGCCGUCUAAGGUGGGACAAAUGAUUAGGGUGAAGUCGUAACAAGGUAGCCGUAGGAGAACCUGCGGCUGGAUCACCUCCUUU